UGUAGUCAUGUGGCAAUUCUGUAAUUUCUGCUGCAGCACCUGGUAAACUGGUGUGGUUCAUUGUCUAUGAAGAGGUAUCUGUAUGGUAAAAACAGUGGAGAGGACGGUUCAGUGUUUACGCUGUCUGAACCCGGGAGGAGCACGUCAGCUCUCAGCCAUGUGUGCUAAUCUCAGGAAGGGGAUGUUUGGAUGUUUCCCUCUCACUAAGGCCAUUGUUAAAUGUGUCUGGGAAGCUGAGCACAGCAGCAGAACGAGCUCCUCUGACAGACCAGGAGAAACGUGAAGAAAAGACCGCUGCGAAGUCCAAUGUCUCACAUCCUGUCAGGGUUGUUUCAGAGUGCACUGCAGGUUUCUGUGACAGGGAGGGACCUGCUGCCGGCACCGCAAUGAGCUUCACCGAGAAGUCACGAAAGUCUUGGAUUGAGGAAACCUUCUUCAAAAGAGAAUGCGUGAAGUUUAUCCCUUCCUCUCGAGAUCUGCACAGAUGUAUUCCAGUAUGUCAAGUGUGCCAGAACUUGAUCAGAUGUUGUUGUGGCCGCUUGAUGGGGGAGCACUCUUGGCAAGAGUCCCUUCCCCCUGCAACGCUUUGUCCUGGCCCUGGACAGGAUGUGGAAGAGGACUGGUCCAUAGAGCUCCACACCAAAGCCAGUCCCACCAAUGCCUAUGGGACCAUCGACUUUCAGGACACGGCCACACGCGUGUGCCGGGCAAAGUAUGUCCGUGUGGCUGUGGACUCAAAGCCGGAGGUGCUGCUCCAGCUGAUGCUGAGGGAGUGGCAGAUGGAGAGACCCAAGCUACUUCUGAGUGUCCAGGGAGGCUCAGAAAACUUCACCCUGCCUCCUAAAGUCAAGCAGGCCUUCAGCAAAGGGCUAAUCACUGCUGCCCUCAGCACAGGGGCGUGGAUACUCACUGAUGGCAUUAAUACAGGUGUGUCUAAGUAUGUGGGCGAGGCAGUGAAAACAUUCGGGGGCCACGACCUGAGGAAAAGAAACACAGUCGGCAUCACGCCAUGGGGAGUGAUUGACAACAACACAGACCUUAUAGGCAGAGACGUGUUCAGGCCCUACCAGCCCCUGGGGAACCCGCUAAGCAAGAGGGCCUGUCUUAAUGGUUUCCACUCCCACUUCCUGUUGGUGGACGAUGGAACGCUGGGAAAACACGGCUGUCAGCAAGGCCUGAGGAAGAAGCUGGAGAAACACAUCCAGCUACAGAAGAUACACCCCCGACUGAACCAAGGAGUGCCGGUGGUGUGUGUGGUGGUGGAGGGAGGUCCUGCCAUUGUGUCCACAGUGCUGGAAUAUGUUAGCAAUGUGCCCCCCGUGCCGGUGUUUGUGUUUGAGGGGUCGGGCAGGGCUGCUGACCUGCUCGCCGUCUUACACAAACAGACUGCUGUUGAAAGGCAGCUGGAAGCUGACAUUAAAGAGGACUUCCUCGUCAGGAUCGAACAUGUGUUUGCAGUAGAGAGAGCAGAAGCCUCUGAGCUCUACAGUCUCCUCCUGCAGUGUAUGGAUCACAGAGAGUCUAUAACCAUCUUUGACUCAGAGUCAGAGGACCACAUGGCUCCCGAUGCAGCCAUUUUGACAACUACGCUCAAAGGCACGAAUGCCAGUCCUGCAGAACAGCUGAGUAUGGCACUAGCCUGGGACAGGGCCGACAUCGCUCAGAAAGACAUCCUGGUGCAUGGACAGCACUGGCAGGUGGGUUCCUUGGAGCAGGCCAUGCUGGAUGCUCUGGUGAUGGACCGAGUCAGUUUUGUCAAGCUGUUGAUCGACAACGGCAUGACUAUGAGCCGCUUCCUCACAGUGGAUCGCCUCGAGCAUCUCUAUAACACGCCACAGGGGCAGACAGACCGUUUCCUCCACCACCUCGUUGAAGAUGUGAAACAGGCCUCUCUUCCCAUGGGUUACCGUCUGUCUCUCAUUGACAUGGGCCUGGUGAUCGAGUACCUUAUAGGAGGAGCCUAUCGCAGCACCUACACACGGAAAACCUUCAGAGCUGCCUACAGCCGCCUGCAGGACAAAGAAGGUAGACGGGACAGCUCGACCUCCUUGUCUAAACAGAGACGGGGUCUAAUACUAAACUCAAGCAGAGGGAGGAGUCUCCAAGACCUGCAUUUCUUCAGAACUGCUCAGCCCUACAAACGCAAGGAGCAGGAUGAGUCAGCCGGGAGCAGUCGAGAGGUCACGUCGGACCCCGGCCUUGGUAAGGCCCCACUGCUGGUCCCCUUCAACUUCAACGACCUGUUUGUGUGGGCCGUGCUUCAGCAGCGCCAGCAGAUGGCCUUGUUCCUGUGGCAGCACGGCGAAGAGGCGCUGGCACGUGCUGCGGUGGCCUGUAAGCUUUACCGCUCCAUGGCCUUUGAGGCACGGCAGAGCAGUAUGGAUGACAACAUUGCAGAGCGAUUCAAGACAUAUUCACUUGAGUUUGGUCAGCUGGCGGUGGACGUGUUAGACUGUGCAUUUCGUCAGAACGAGCAGAUGGCCAUGAAGCUGCUGACUUCAGAGAUGGAGGCUUGGAGCAACUUCACCUGCCUGCAGAUGGCUGUCUCCUCAUGUCACAGACCGUUUGUGUCCCACUCCUGCACACAGACUCUGCUCACAGACCUCUGGACCGGUCCGCUCAACAUGAGAAAAAACUCCUUUCUGAAGAUUAUUCUGAGCCUCCUUCUGCCCCCUGCCAUCUUGUUACUGGAGUUUAAAAGCAAAGCUGAAAUGUGCCAUGUACCACAGUCCCACGAGGCAAUGCUGUUUGGACUUGACUCUGUGAAGUCAGUGCCAGCCCACGAGGGAACUGAUCCGAUGGACAGUCAGGAUGCAGAGCGAGGACUGCCUUUCCGCAGAAGAUGUCAUGGUCCUGUGUCAGAAACUGUGUCCUCUAUGACUGUCCAUUGUCUGUCCUGGAUCACAAGACUCUAUGAAUUCUACACAGCGCCUGUUGUCAAGUUCUGGUUUCACACAAUGUCCUACUUGGCCUUUCUGAUGUUGUUCUCCUACGUCAUCCUGGUGAAGAUGGGGGAUGUGCCCAGCGUUCAGGAGUGGCUGGUCAUAGCGUACAUCUUGUCCACUGCAGUGGAGAAAACCAGAGAGGUCCUAAUGUCUGAGCCGAGGAAGCUGAGCCAGAAGCUGAAGAUUUGGUUCUCAGAGUACUGGAACAUAUCAGAUUUCAUUGCCAUCGUCCUCUUCCUGGCUGGACUGGCAAUGCGUUGGCAUGGCAAUCCGUACUGGACAGCAGGACGCAUCAGUUACUGUCUGGACAUCAUCUUCUGGUUUGUCAGAGUGAUGGAUCUGCUGGCUGUCAAUCAGCAUGCUGGGCCUUACCUCACCAUGAUCACAAAGAUGACCAGUAAUAUGUUCUUCAUCGUGGUGAUGAUGGCAAUAGUGCUGCUGAGCUUCGGGGUGUCCAGGAAGGCUAUCCUGUCGCCAAACGAGGAGCCGUCCUGGAGUCUGGCCCGAGACGUGGUCUUCCAGCCCUAUUGGAUGAUCUAUGGAGAGGUCUACGCAUCGGAGAUAGAUGCAUGUGCUGACAGAAAACCAUGUCCUCCUGCUGCCUUCAUCACGCCCUUCCUGCAGGCUGUUUAUAUGUUCUUCCAGUACAUCAUCAUGGUCAACAUUCUCAUUGCAUUUUUUAACAACAUUUACUUUGACAUGGCAUCAACAUCCAAUAAGCUGUGGAAGUACAACCGUUACCAUUACAUAAUGACCUAUCAGGAGAGGCCGUGGCUGCCGCCCCCCCUCAUCCUCCUCAGCCACGUGACACAAGCUUUGAGGGCCUUGUACAGGAGAUGUAGUGGAGACGCUGAGCGGGAGGAGAAAUGCUCUGGACUUAAGCUCCUUCUGGGCCACGAGGAUCGUAAGAAGCUCCAUGAGUUUGAGGAGAAAUGUGUACAGGCCUACUUCCAUGAGAAGAGUGAGGGUCCCCACAGCAGUCAUAUUAACAGGAUCAGAGCCACAGCUGACAGAGCUGAGGAGAUGGGCCUGAUGAUGGGGGAGGUCUCAGAGAAGGUCAACUUCAUUCAGGACAGCCUGUCAGAGUUGGACUAUCAGCUGGGUCAACUCCAGGACCUUUCAGCGCUGGCUGUGGACAUGCUCACUCUGCUCUCCGCUUCUGACAGCCUUCAUCAGGAGGAGGCACGUCUGGCUCAGAGUCGGCCCGUCAUGGCGUCCCGGCACAUCCUGCCUCACAGCUGGACCCUCCCACACAGAACGGACUGUGACGUACUUAAUGCGCAGCGAGUGAUGGCCAAGUCGUGUAAAAGCACUCCGCCAUCUUUGCUGAAGGGCCACGCUCUGGUGGCGAGUAGACUGGCGUCACAGGAGUGCCAUGUCGGAGCCAGGGCGAGCAGGGGAGGAAGACAGGGACGCACUGACGAGGCAAAGGAAGGAGCUAAGGAGUCUGCUGCUGUUGACCAUCCCAGUGAGAACUGGUUGGGACUUUCUAGACCUGCGUCCCGACAGACACACUGUGAGUCCUGUGGACCAUCUUGCUGUGCGUCUCCUCUUCCCUCCAGAGGCGUGGAGUCACCACAUCUGAAAAUCUGGACAUGUGACCCACACCUGUAUCCCAGUCAGGAGGAAACAUCAAUGGAAGAGGAGGAAGAGGAAGAGGAAGAAGAAGAGGUGGAAGAAGAGCAAGAGGAGAAUGGGACACAGGACCACCUGUCUAAUACAAACGUAUCGAGAGCAUCUAGCAACGCUGUCCUUCUGUCUGACCCUCGAGAGGUUCCUGAGGGUUUGGUAAAUCCUGCCUUUUCUCAGGAUGAGGACCUGCCAAGUCCUCAAUCCAGACCUUCCAGCCAGUGGGGAAGACCUGUGAAGUCCCCCAGGUGGGCGUGUCUGUCCCAUGAUCGUCCCUAUGGCCAUUGCAGGUCUCUGUCAUCCAGCAUGGAGAAUAUGACUUUAUCUGGGGCGCCUCUCAGUCCACUGAGGGGGUCCUCUCCUUCUCUUCAUGGUCCAACGAACAAAGAGAGUUUGUCUGGUGGGAGAUGUUUUAGGGACAACACGUCGCUACAGUGCAGCAAGAGCAAAGAGUGGUCCAAGUCCUCUGACUUCACUCAAGCAGACAGCAGAGGCAAAAGCCAGAACAGAAAGACGGUGAAGAUCCAAGAGAGCAGUCCAGACACUGUAACCAUGCAGUCCCACCUGUCUGACGCCUGUUGGAGAAGAUGGCGGAGACUGAGGGGAGAACCUACGUGUUGGUCGGCUUCAACCAGCCUCAGUCAGCUCAAUUUUGAACCAGUGGAUUUGUUGCAGAAACAAGUGUUUUCCUACCAGGAUGUGUGGAGCCCCACUCACUCGGCAUGGAACAGCUGGGCCAGAUCCAUGAGCCGCAGGUCUUCGUUGCAAAGUGGGAUUACUCCUGAAGCGAAGAGCCCCUCGUUCCAGUCCACUGAAAAUUUGUACCCACACUAUUCAGCUGUGGAGAGAAACAACCUGAUGAGACUGGCUCACACCAUUCCCUUCACACCUGUCUCCAUUCUGGGGGGUGAAGAGGUGAGCAUCUACUCUCUGGAGGAGGUGUCCUCUGAUGUUCACCCUGAGUCGCUCUCCUCCUGGUCGUCACGAGGCCUGUCUGCCAUGCUGCAGCCCCUCUCCAGUGAAGAGGGCUCGCUGGACGGGGGUCUCCGGCGGGGCUGCAGGGUGCUGUGUACCUGGGCAGAGCGGGACGUGCUCAGGCCCGGUCUGGUAUAUGUGGUCAAAGCUUUCAGGCCGGAGGUGGUCCGUGCCUGGCAGAGGUACUUCCAUGGCAGCACGGCCCUACAGCUUUGUUUAAGGGAGAUCCAGCAGCAGAGAGCAGCCCAGAACAUGAUGAAGGUGUUCAACCAGGUCAAACCUGAUGAUUUGCAGUACUCGCCAAGGUUUCUAGAUGUAUCGCUGGUCCUCUGGCAUUCAAAUGGCCUGUGGUUGACUAUUGAGAGGAACAUGUCUGGCGACUUCAGGAAGUACAACAACAACACAGGAGAGGAGAUCGCCCCCUGCUGUUCACUGGAAGAGAUGCUGCUAGCGUUCUCCCACUGGACAUAUGAGUACUCACGCCGAGAGCUUCUGGUGCUCGAUAUACAGGGAGUAGGAGAUGAGCUGACCGACCCAACAGUCAUUAUGGCAGACGAUCAGAGCGGCAGCAGGGGUGAGAUGCUUUUCGGUCCCGAUAACCUUGGAGAUGCUGCCAUCAACGCUUUCCUGCAGAAGCACUCAUGUAGCGCUUGCUGCCGCAGACUGGGGCUGUCAGAUUUAGGGAAGCGUCCGGAGGACCGCGAGAGCAGCAGCGAGCCAGAGUCGACAUCGGGGAGAGGAGAACGCGAGGACGAUGAAACCGAGAUGUAACCCUUGACCCAGGAAAAAUCAAAGCUUUGAUUGAAUUUGUCUCACUGACGAUGAACAGAAAUAAAAAUAACGGACUGAUGACGUCGGCUGGUAACGACACCACCGGGAGACCGAAAGGCAGCCUCACGUCAGCCUGAUUUUCAGAUCGUCUCCGUCACCGAGUGAACACAUCUAAACUGACUCGCUGAAUAAUGGAGAGAGAGAGAGACGACGGAAAGGAAGAGGAGACACGGGAUGAGAUGGAUUAUGAAGGAUGGAGGGAUGGAUGAACGAGCAGGAGGAUGGAGGGAUGGAGGAAGCUGGAGAUCUUUAAAUGGGCUUUAAAAGCUUGACCGAGUGCAUCUCGCUGUCAGUUCCCACAGUUGGCGAUCGGGUCAUGUGAUCUGCACACAGGUGUGUGUUGUCACCAGGUAAAGAUAUCUGCCUGCCUGCGAUGGAAGAAAAUACACCAGCGCUCUGCUCUGCUGGGGUUAGAGUUACAGCUAACAGCAAACUGAACCCUCGCCGCUCCUCCGUCCGUCCUGCGUGAAGGCCGCCUCGCUCCUCCGCUUCCUCCACUCAUCCUGGACGGUCACAGGACGGUCAGAGAGAACCUGUCAUCCUCCAUCUGCUGAUGAAGUCCACGAGAUGCAGGUUAAAGAGCCGUAUGGGUUGUGGAUCCUGUGACACGGGCCCUAUUCACUCCUGUCGCCCUCAGCCAGUACGCUGCAGAGAGCCACUGUUGUGUUCGGAGGAGCUUUAAGCCGCGGUGGAUUUUCAAAGGUGGGAGCGUCCUCGGCAGCCACACAGGACUUCUCCCCUGGGGGGGCAGAAAAAGUGGUAAAAACCUGGUGACAGGAGGUGAGUAUCAGAGGCCACACAACAACAACAACAAUGACAACACCAGACCCAAGAUUUACUCAG